rnacentral:snRNA from 1 species
GUGCUCGCUUCAGCAGCACAUAUGUACUAAAAUUGGAAUGAUACAGAGAAGAUUAGCAUGGCCCCUGCACAAAGGUAACAGGCAAAUUCGUGAAGCAUUCCGUAUUUUU